CAGGAGACGAGAGAAGUGUUUGUGGAGAGAGUCGUAUCUGUUGGGGGUGGCCGAUGUGGUGUCUAAAGCAGAGUCUAGUGACAUGUUGCAGUCUCCCCCCAUUAUGAGUAUACCCUCUGCAAAAGUGUCUAUCCAGCGUAGGCAUUUUUUAAGGGUCUUGCAUUGGCCGGUAUUAGGCAUGUACAUAUUUACAAAGGUGAUUUUAUUUUGUCCCACGGUCCCCUUUACUAGCAGUAACCUCC